rnacentral:rRNA from 1 species
GCAUAUCAAUAAGCGGAGGAAAAAAGAAAACCCAACAGGGAUUGGCCUUAGUAACGGCGAGUGAAGCGGCAACAGCUCAAAUUUGAAAUCUGGCCCUCGGGUCCGAAUUGUAAUUUGUAGAGGAUGAUUUUGGUGCGGUAUCUUCCGAGUUCCUUGGAACAGGACGCCUUAGAGGGUGAGAGCCCCGUACGGGUUGAAUGCCUAGCCUCUGUAAAUCUCCUUCGACGAGUCGAGUAGUUUGGGAAUGCUGCUCUAAAUGGGAGGUAAAUUUCUUCUAAAGCUAAAUAUUGGCCAGAGACCGAUAGCGCACAAGUAGAGUGAUCGAAAGAUGAAAAGCACUUUGAAAAGAGGGUUAAAUAGCACGUGAAAUUGUUGAAAGGGAAGGAUUUGUGACCAGACUUUUUCUGGGCGGAUCAUCCGGGGUUCUCUCCGGUGCACUUUGCCCAGUAAAGGCCAGCAUCGAUUUUCGGCGGCGGAUAAAAGCAGUGGGAAUGUGGCUCCCCACGGGGAGUGUUAUAGCCCAUUGUAUAAUACGCUGCUGGGGAUCGAGGUACGCGCUUCUGCAAGGAUGCUGGCGUAAUGGUUAUCAAUCACCCGUCUUGAAACACGGACCAAGGAGUCGAACAUUUAUGCGAGUGUUUGGGUGUUAAACCCUCACGCGUAAUGAAAGUGAACGGAGGUGAGAGCCCGUACGGGUGCAUCAUCGACCGAUCCUGAAGUUUUCGGAUGGAUUUGAGUAAGAGCAUAACUGUUCGGACCCGAAAGAUGGUGAACUAUGCGUGGAUAGGGUGAAGCCAGAGGAAACUCUGGUGGAGGCUCGCAGCGGUUCUGACGUGCAAAUCGAUCGUCAAAUCUGCGCAUGGGGCGAAAGACUAAAUCGAACCAUCUAGUAGCUGGGUUACCGCCGAA